rnacentral:siRNA from 1 species
UAUGCCGUGUAUUACAGAUCGA